UACGUAGGUGGCAAGCGUUGUCCGGAUUUACUGGGCGUAAAGAGCGCGCAGGCGGUCGUUCAAGUCGCGUGUGAAAGCCCCCGGCUCAACUGGGGAGGGUCACGCGAUACUGAUCGACUCGAAGGCAGGAGAGGGUAGUGGAAUUCCCGGUGUAGUGGUGAAAUGCGCAGAGAUCGGGAGGAACACCCGUAGCGAAGGCGGCACUCUGGGCCGUGACUGACGCUGAGGAGCGAAAGCGUGGGGAGCAAACAGG
rnacentral:rRNA from 1 species